AGACGUAGGGGGCAAGCGUUACCCGGAAUUACUGGGCGUAAAGGGGGCGUAGGCGGUAAAAGAAGUCAUCUGUGAAAACCUAUUGCUCAACGAUAGGCUAGCGGAUGAAACUGAAUUACUUGAGGGCACCAGAGGUAGACGGAAUUACCCGAGUAGGGGUGAAAUCCGCAGAUACGGGUAGGAACGCCGGUGGAGAAGUCGGUCUACUGGGGGGCACCAGACGCUGAGGCCCGAAAGCUAGGGGAGCAAACCGGAUUAGAUACCCGGGUAGUCCUAGCCGUAAACGAUGCUCACUAGGUGUAGGGAGUGAUAAACUCUCUGUGCUGAAGCGAACGCGCUAAGUGAGCCGCCUGGGGAGUACGUCCGCAAGGAUGAAACUCAAAUGAAUUGACGGGG
rnacentral:rRNA from 1 species